rnacentral:rRNA from 1 species
GAUUAACGCUAGCGGCAGGCAUAAUACAUGCAAGUUGAACGGCAGCACAGGUAGCAAUACUGGGUGGCGAGUGGCGCACGGGUGCGUAACACGUAUGCAACCUACCCUAUACAGGCGAAUAACCUUUAGAAAUGAGGGCUAAUACGCCGUAGUAUUACAGAUGGGCAUCUAUUUGUAAUUAAAGAUUUAUCGGUAUAGGAUGGGCAUGCGUCCCAUUAGUUAGUUGGUAAGGUAACGGCUUACCAAGACGAUGAUGGGUAGGGGAUCUGAGAGGACUUACCCCCACACUGGUACUGAGACCCGGACCAGACUCCUACGGGAGGCAGCAGUAAGGAAUAUUGGGCAAUGGCCGCGAGGCUGACCCAGCCAUGCCGCGUGCAGGAAGACGGCCUUAUGGGUUGUAAACUGCUUUUAUACGGGAAUAAUAGAGUGUACGCGUACAUUUAUGCAAGUAUCGUAUGAAUAAGCAUCGGCUAACUCCGUG